rnacentral:rRNA from 1 species
CGUGCAUGGCUGUCGUCAGCUCGUGUCGUGAGAUGUUGGGUUAAGUCCCGCAACGAGCGCAACCCUUGCCUUUAGUUGCCAGCAGUUCGGCUGGGCACUCUAAAGGGACUGCCGGUGUUAAACCGGAGGAAGGUGGGGAUGACGUCAAGUCCUCAUGGCCUUUAUGACCAGGGCUACACACGUACUACAAUGGCCGAUACAAAGGGCAGCGACACUGCGAGGUGAAGCCAAUCCCGUAAAAUCGGUCUCAGUCCGGAUUGGAGUCUGCAACUCGACUCCAUGAAGUUGGAAUCGCUAGUAAUCGUGGAUCAGCAUGCCACGGUGAAUACGUUCCCGGGUCUU